GUAAACUGAAAGAAGAAAUCAUAAAUAAUAGAAAGCAUUAUAUGGACAUGCGUUUUUGGAGAAUGGUUGGUUUUGGUAAACUUCCAAAGUACCAUCAGGAUCCUACAACAGAAGAGUUGGCCAAAACACUAGAUUGUUGGCCAUCAAUGAAUUAUUAUAUCACGGGUUGUAGAUAUGUUCUCAUGCCAUGGAAAUUCAAUGGAUGUCACGCCCUUU